rnacentral:rRNA from 1 species
GAUGGACGCUGGCGGCGUGCCUAAUACAUGCAAGUCGAGCGAACGGACGAGAAGCUUGCUUCUCUGAUGUUAGCGGCGGCCGGGUGAGUAACACGUGGAUAACCUACCUAUAAGACUGGGAUAACUUCGGGAAACCGUAGCUAAUACCGGAUAAUAUUUUGAAUCUCAUGGUUCAAAAGUGAAAGACGGUCUUGCUGUCACUUAUAGAUGGAUCCGCGCUGCAUUAGCUAGUUGGUAAGGUAACGGCUUACCAAGGCAACGAUGCAUAGCCGACCUGAGAGGGUGAUCGGCCACACUGGAACUGAGACACGGUCCAGACUCCUACGGGAGGCAGCAGUAGGGAAUCUUCCGCAAUGGGCGAAAGCCUGACGGAGCAACGCCGCGUGAGUGAUGAAGGUCUUCGGAUCGUAAAACUCUGUUAUUAGGAAAGAACAUAUGUGUAAGUAACUGUGCACAUCUUGACGGUACCUAAUCAAAAAGCCACGGCUAACUACGUG